rnacentral:rRNA from 1 species
AAUCAACGCUGGCGGCGUGCCUCAGACAUGCAAGUCGAACGAUUAAAGCUCUCUUCGGAGAGUGCAUAGAGUGGCGCACGGGUGAGUAACACGUAAGUAAUCUACCCUCGAGUGGGGAAUAACGUCCGGAAACGGACGCUAAUACCGCAUAAUGCAGCGGCACCGCAAGGUGACAGUUGUUAAAGAUUUAUCGCUUGAGGAGGAGCUUGCGGCAGAUUAGCUAGUUGGUAAGGUAAUGGCUUACCAAGGCUACGAUCUGUAACCGGUCUUAGAGGACGGUCGGUCACACUGACACUGAAUAACGGGUCAGACUCCUACGGGAGGCAGCAGUCGGGAAUUUUGGGCAAUGGGCGAAAGCCUGACCCAGCAACGCCGCGUGAAGGAUGAAGUAUUUCGGUAUGUAAACUUCGAAAGAAUAGGAAGAAUAAAUGACGGUACUAUUUAUAAGGUCCGGCUAACUACGUGCCAGCAGCCGCGGUAAGGCGUAUGUUGU